GGCGGAGCCUGUCCGCGCGGCCGAACAGUGGGCGCUGCGAAGAGCAAGCGGGGAAUUCGAGGGAGGGAUACCUCGGGCUCCUGCAGUAGCGGAAGACUUGAGUCUCGUCUUGAAAGAGCUGAGCAUUUGCAGAGGCUGUCGGACGGAAAGACUUUCCUCUCUCACUGACAGUCUCCACCAUGAUUCACAGCCUUUUCUUGAUCAACUCCUCUGGAGAUAUUUUCCUGGAGAAACACUGGAAGAGUGUGGUCAGCCGGUCUGUUUGCGAUUACUUUUUCGAGGCACAAGAGCGAGCAACUGAGGCUGAAAAUGUUCCUCCAGUUAUCUCCACCCCUCACCACUAUCUCCUAAGUGUUUACCGUCACAAGAUCUUUUUUGUGGCUGUGAUCCAGACGGAGGUGCCACCUCUGUUUGUCAUUGAGUUCCUUCACCGAGUAGUGGACACGU